GGGGAUUUAGCUCAGUGGUAGAGCGCUUGCCUAGGAAGCGCAAGGCCCUGGGUUCGAUCCCCAACUCCG
rfam:Rattus norvegicus chromosome 7, whole genome shotgun sequence.